GACGGAGGAUGCAAGCGUUAUCCGGAAUGAUUGGGCGUAAAGCGUCUGCAGGUGGCAGUUCAAGUCUGCUGUCAAAGACCGGGGCUUAACUUCGGAAAGGCAGUGGAAACUGAACAGCUAGAGUAUGGUAGGGGCAGAGGGAAUUCCCGGUGUAGCGGUGAAAUGCGUAGAGAUCGGGAAGAACAUCGGUGGCGAAGGCGCUCUACUGGACCACAACUGACACUCAGGGACGAAAGCUAGGGGAGCGAAUGGG
rnacentral:rRNA from 1 species